GCCAGCAGCCAUAUCACCCUGCAGCUCUCAGCUGUUUACCCACUGAAGCUCAGCAGGGUUGAGCCUGGUCAGUACCUGGAUGGGAGUCCUCCUGGGAAGAUAUGGUUGCUGCUGGAA
ensembl:rRNA 5S_rRNA 5S ribosomal RNA